rnacentral:rRNA from 1 species
UACGGGGGGUGCGAGCGUUGUCCGGAAUCACUGGGCGUAAAGGGCGCGUAGGUGGCCUGAUAAGGGUGUGGUGAAAGUCCGGGGCUUAACCCCGGAUCUGCCGUGCCGACUGUUAGGCUAGAGUGCUGUAGGGGCAGGCGGAAUUCCGGGUGUAGCGGUGGAAUGCGUCGAGAUCCGGAGGAAGACCGGUGGCGAAGGCGGCCUGCUGGGCAGAUACUGACACUGAGGCGCGACAGCGUGGGGAGCAAACAGG